UGGGGAAUAUUGCACAAUGGGGGAAACCCUGAUGCAGCAACGCCGCGUGAGUGAUGACGGCCUUCGGGUUGUAAAGCUCUGUCUUCAGGGACGAUAAUGACGGUACCUGAGGAGGAAGCCACGGCUAACUACGUGCCAGCAGCCGCGGUAAUACGUAGGUGGCAAGCGUUGUCCGGAUUUACUGGGCGUAAAGGGAGCGUAGGCGGACUUUUAAGUGAGAUGUGAAAUACCCGGGCUCAACCUGGGUGCUGCAUUUCAAACUGGAAGUCUAGAGUGCAGGAGAGGGGAGUGGAAUUCCUAGUGUAGCGGUGAAAUGCGUAGAGAUUAGGAAGAACACCAGUGGCGAAGGCGACUCUCUGGACUGUAACUGACGCUGAGGCUCGAAAGCGUGGGGAGCAAACA
rnacentral:rRNA from 1 species